rnacentral:rRNA from 1 species
UACGAGGGGGGCAAGCGUUGUUCGGAUUUAUUGGGCGUAAAGGGUGCGUAGGCGGUCUGGCAAGUCUUGUGUGAAAUCUUUGGGCUCAACCCAAAGCCUGCACGAGAAACUGCCGGGCUUGAGUAUGGGAGAGGUGAGUGGAAUUUCCGGUGUAGCGGUGAAAUGCGUAGAUAUCGGAAGGAACACCUGUGGCGAAAGCGGCUCACUGGACCAUAACUGACGCUGAGGCACGAAAGCGUGGGGAGCAAACAGG